rnacentral:lncRNA from 1 species
GUAAAAUGAGAUUGGAGUUACCCCAAAGUCCAACUCUCAGAUAACUGCCAUUAUUUGAUCUAUUUUGCAGUUCCUUAGAAAAUCCUCCCUGUCUUGGCUGGGUGCGGUGGCUAAUGCCUGUAAUCCCAAAAACCAAUCAUUCCAGGUAAAUCCCAUUCAUUCACUCAAAAUAUAAAUUGUAAUUACUGAAAGAAAAAAUCCUACUUAUCGGCUUCCUCUUAUGAUAGCUGUACAUACUGAGUUCUCCAGAUCUGUUCUGGCCACAGGGCAUUUUCACUUGAAUUUGGACUGGCCCCUGGACUGGCUCUUUCUCUUUGCUCAGAUCUUAGCUCCUCAGCGAGGCUGUCCCAGGCCACACUCUCCUGUUGCCAGGCCAACCCUCAUAGAGGACUCAGCACUUCCAAGUCCCAGUUCCCCAGGGAAGGCUUGGCUCUGGUGACAGAGAGUGGGCUCCUUCUGAAGCAUUCUUUUUCAGUUGCUUUCCUAACCCAUGUCAUGCAGACUCUUGAUUAAUAAAAGCUGGCACUUAAGGAU